AUGAACGCUGGCGGCGUGCCUAAUACCUGCAAGUCGAGCGAACAGACGAGGAGCUUGCUCCUCUGACGUUAGCGGCGGACGGGUGAGUAACACGUGGAUAACCUACCUAUAAGACUGGGAUAACUUCGGGAAACCGGAGCUAAUACCGGAUAAUAUAUUGAACCGCAUGGUUCAAUAGUGAAAGACGGUUUUGCUGUCACUUAUAGAUGGAUCCGCGCCGCAUUAGCUAGUUGGUAAGGUAACGGCUUACCAAGGCAACGAUGCGUAGCCGACCUGAGAGGGUGAUCGGCCACACUGGAACUGAGACACGGUCCAGACUCCUACGGGAGGCAGCAGUAGGGAAUCCUCCGCAAUGGGCGAAAGCCUGACGGAGCAACGCCGCGUGAGUGAUGAAGGUCUUCGGAUCGUAAAACUCUGUUAUUAGGGAAGAACAAAUGUGUAAGUAACUAUGCACGUCUUGACGGUACCUAAUCAGAAAGCCACGGCUAACUACGUG
rnacentral:rRNA from 1 species